CCUACGGGAGGCAGCAGUGAGGAAUAUUGGUCAAUGGACGAGAGUCUGAACCAGCCAAGUAGCGUGAAGGAAGCCUGCCCUAUGGGUUGUAAACUUCUUUUACAUGGGAAUAAAUGGUUCCACGGGUGGGCUUUGGAUGGUACCUUGUGAUAAAGGAUCGGCUAACUCCGUGCCAGCAGCCGCGGUAAUACGGAGGAUCCGAGCGUUAUCCGGAUUUAUUGGGUUUAAAGGGAGCGAAGGUGGAUUGUUAAGUCAGUGGUGAAAGUUUGCGGCUCAACCGUAAAAUUGCAGUUGAAACUGGCAGUCUUGAGUACGGUAGAGGUAGGCGGAAUUCGUGGUGUAGCGGUGAAAUGCUUAGAUAUCACGAAGAACUCCGAUUGCGAAGGCAGCUCACUGGACUGCAACUGACACUGAGGCUCGAAAGUGUGGGUAUCAAACAGGAUUAGAUACCCCAGUAGUC
rnacentral:rRNA from 1 species